UACAAAGUCCAGUUUGUGCAGUUGCAUUCCAUAGUGGUGACCAGGAACGUCUGUGCCACAUUCAGCUACUUCAGAAGACGCAGGUAAGAUGUGUCUUUCACCUUCCGCCGUGAUUGUGAGACCUCCCCAAACACGUCGAAUUGACUAUCAACCUGGCCUGAAAUGAAGUGAUGUCCUCAAAACUUUAGAUAUUGUUGCCAAGAGCCUUCUUCUCAAAAAUAAGUCAAUGGAAAC